rnacentral:rRNA from 1 species
CACCACAACGGGUGGAGCCUGCGGUUUAAUUGGACUCAACGCCGGGCAGCUCACCGGAUAAGACAGCUGGAUGAUAGCCGGGCUGAAGACUCUGCUUGACUAGCUGAGAGGAGGUGCAUGGCCGUCGUCAGUUCGUACUGUGAAGCAUCCUGUUAAGUCAGGCAACGAGCGAGACCCACGCCAACAGUUGCCAGCAUGUCCUCCGGGAUGAUGGGGACACUGUUGGGACCGCCUCUGCUAAAGAGGAGGAAGGAAUGGGCAACGGUAGGUCAGCAUGCCCCGAAUUAUCCGGGCUACACGCGGGCUACAAUGGUCAGGACAAUGGGUAUCGACACCGAGAGGUGGAGGCAAUCUCCUAAACCUGUCCUUAGUUCGGAUUGUGGGCUGCAACUCGCCCACAUGAAGCUGGAAUCCGUAGUAAUCGCGUUUCAAAUAGCGCGGUGAAUAUGUCCCUGCUCCUU